CCCCCAGGUCCCUCAACAUUAGUGCAAAUCAGUCGGCCUUGUCUUUUCAAGUACACAUAUAACUGACAUACAAGACAACUGGACAAAAUGGGGGAGAGAGGAGGUGAGAAGAGGAGAUGGGAGGAGAGGGGAGGAGAGGGGAGGAGAGAAGAGGAGAUGGGAGGAGAGGGGAGGAGAGAGGAGGGGAGAAGAGGAGAUGGGAGGAGAGGGGAGGAGAGGGGAGGAGAGAGGAGGUGAGAAGAGGAGAUGGGAGGAGAGGGGAGGAGAGGGGAGGAGAGAGGAGGUGAGAAGAGGAGAUGGGAGGAGAGGGGAGGAGAGAGGAGGUGAGAAGAGGAGAUUGGAGGAGAGGAGAUGGGAGGAGAGGAGAUGAGAGGAGGGUAGAGAAGAGAGAGGAGAAGAUGAGAGGAGAGGACAGGAGAGAAGAUGGGAGGAGAGGAGGAGGGUAGAGCAGAGAAGAGGAGAGGAUAGGAGGAGGGUAGAGGAGAGGAGAGAAGAUGGGAGGAGAGGAGAGGAGGAGGGUAGAGGAGAGAAGAGGAGAUGGGAGGAGAGGAGAGAAGAUGAGA